rnacentral:lncRNA from 1 species
CCUGAGCACCUGCCUCACUGCCCUGGAUGUUCUCCUUCCCAGCAAUGCUCCUUUCCCAGCAAACACUCACUCCUCCUCCAGGGCCCAGCUCGAAUGCACCACCUCUAACUUCUCAUGGAGCUUUCCCACACAACUUUAUUCCACAACUAAUUACACUGCAUUAAAUUGUGUGCAUAUCUUUCCCAGCAGGCUACAGGCUGCUCAAAAGAUGCAGAAGUCUUGGCAGUGCUUACAGCCUGCAUCAUUAGAGGCACCCAAAACAAAGGGCAAGUCAGCCAAGAAUGAGUCAACGAGCAGGUGAAACCGUAUGUCAGACUGAUGCAAUGGCACGGAGUGGGAGAGGGAGAAGGGCUGGAUGAAGCAGCAGCCACGGCAACUGACUGAAGAGAGAGCACGAGAGUUGCUCCAACUGAGAAAUUUACAUUUCCUUGAAAUGGUUUGUGCUUUAUUCUAGAACCUGGAAAAUUCUAUGA